UAUGGCCAUAUCAUGUUGAAACACCAGUUCCCAUACAUUUGCUGAAGUUAAGCAACAUCAAGCCUGGUCAGUACCUAGAUGGGUGACUGCUUGGGAAUACCAGGUGAUGCAA